rnacentral:rRNA from 1 species
UACGUAGGGUGCGAGCGUUGUCCGGAAUUAUUUGGCGUAAAGAGCUUGUAGGCGGUUUGUCGCGUCUGCCGUGAAAAUCCGGGGCUCAACCCCGGACUUGCGGUGGGUACGGGCAGACUAGAGUGUGGUAGGGGAGACUGGAAUUCCUGGUGUAGCGGUGAAAUGCGCAGAUAUCAGGAGGAACACCGAUGGCGAAGGCAGGUCUCUGGGCAUUAACUGACGCUGAGGAGCGAAAGCAUGGGGAGCGAACAGG